rnacentral:sRNA from 1 species
GCCGGGCACAGUGGCGCAGGCCUGUAAUCCCAGCGGCUUGGGAGGCUGAGGCAGGAGGAUCGUGAGUUCAAAUCCAGCCGCAGCAACUUCUGGAGGCCCAAAGAACUCAUGGAAACCCUGUCUCUA